AACGAACGCUGGCGGCAUGCCUAACACAUGCAAGUCGAACGAGACCUUCGGGUCUAGUGGCGCACGGGUGCGUAACGCGUGGGAACCUGCCCUUAGGUUCGGAAUAACUCCCCGAAAGGGGUGCUAAUACCGGAUAAUGUCUUAGGACCAAAGAUUUAUCGCCUUUGGAUGGGCCCGCGUUGGAUUAGCUAGUUGGUAGGGUAAAAGCCUACCAUGGCGACGAUCCAUAGCUGGUCUGAGAGGAUGAUCAGCCACACUGGGACUGAGACACGGCCCAGACUCCUACGGGAGGCAGCAGUGGGGAAUAUUGGACAAUGGGCGAUAGCCUGAUCCAGCAAUGCCGCGUGAGUGAUGAAGGCCUUAGGGUUGUAAAGCUCUUUUACCCGGGAUGAUAAUGACAGUACCGGGUGAAUAAGCUCCGGCUAACUCCGUG
rnacentral:rRNA from 1 species